rnacentral:rRNA from 1 species
CCUACGGGAGGCAGCAGUGAGGAAUAUUGGUCAAUGGGCGGAAGCCUGAACCAGCCAAGUCGCGUGAGGGAAUAAGGCCCUACGGGUCGUAAACCUCUUUUGCCGGGGAGCAAGGGCCGGGACGCGUCCCGGCCCGGAGAGUACCCGCAGAAUAAGCAUCGGCUAACUCCGUGCCAGCAGCCGCGGUAAUACUGAGGAUGCGACCGUUAUCCGGAUUUAUUGGGUUUAAAGGGUGCGUAGGCGGAUUUUUAAGUCAGCGGUAAA